rnacentral:rRNA from 1 species
GACGAACGCUGGCGGCGUGCUUAACACAUGCAAGUCGAACGGAAAGGCCCUGCUUUUGUGGGGUGCUCGAGUGGCGAACGGGUGAGUAACACGUGAGUAACCUUCCCUUUACUUUGGGAUAACUUCAGGAAACUGGGGCUAAUACCGGAUAGUAGCUCCUGCUGCAUGGUGGGUGUUGGAAAGUUUCGGCGGUUGGGGAUGGACUCGCGGCUUAUCAGCUUGUUGGUGGGGUAGUGGCUUACCAAGGCUUUGACGGGUAGCCGGCCUGAGAGGGUGACCGGCCACAUUGGGACUGAGAUACGGCCCAGACUCCUACGGGAGGCAGCAGUGGGGAAUAUUGCACAAUGGGCGGAAGCCUGAUGCAGCAACGCCGCGUGCGGGAUGACGGCCUUCGGGUUGUAAACCGCUUUCGCCUGUGACGAAGCGUGAGUGACGGUAAUGGGUAAAGAAGCACCGGCUAACUACGUG